UUGUCUUCAGUUGCCAGCACGUAAAGGUGGGAACGUCUGAAGAUACUGCCCCGGUUAACCGGGGACGGGAAGGUGGGGAGUGACGUCAAGUCCUCAUGGCCCUUAUGCCCAGGGCUACACACGUGCUACAAUGGCAUAUACAAAGGGUCGCGAUACCGCGAGGUGGAGCCAAUCCCAUAAAGUAUGCCACAGUUCGGAUUGGAGUCUGCAACUCGACUCCAUGAAGUUGGAAUCGCUAGUAAUCGCAGAUCAGCAUGCUGCGGUGAAUACGUUCCCGGGCCUU
rnacentral:rRNA from 1 species